AUAAAAGCAGGAAGAGGACUUGUGGAGAAGGUUUCCAGUGGGAGAGGAAAGAGAGAUGGAAUUGCUGAUCAUACCAUGUACUUCAGACACAGGGCCAGAGGACCUGGAGCUAGAACUACUUUAAUAACUUCUACCUGAUGAUUGGUUUUCAUGUCACCAGAAAGUGCCAUGCAAGCUUCCAAAGGAGGACCAGGUCAGAUCUCUGGCAUUUGGUGUCUUGUUUCAGCUGGCAUCCUGCUGAACCUAGCCUGUUUUUGUUUUCUGUCAUGACUUCAAAUGUCUCAGAUUACUCCUGACUCCAGCAUCUCCCAAACCUGGUUGUUCUGGAUAUCCUCUUUGCACAGUAUAGUCCACAAGUAAGCUCAUUCUUAUGAAUACUCUUAAGAAGCCCAUCCAUUUACCCUACUGAAGCAACUCCUGUUAUAAUCACAGGUCUGUUGUGACUUAUAAUAGAUCAAAGUAAGC